rnacentral:rRNA from 1 species
UACACACCGCCCGUCAAGUCAUGAAAGUCGGUAACACCCGAAGCCAGUGGCCAAACCCGCAAGGGAUGGAGCUGUCGAAGGUGGGAUCGGUGAUUAGGACU